rnacentral:lncRNA from 1 species
AAAAAAAUUAAAUUAAAUUGAUGAUUUUGCCUUUGAACCACUUAUCAUCAAUGAAAUUUUUUUGAUUUCUACUUUUAAAUUUUUUUGUUAAUAAGAUAAUUUUUAAAUAGUAAAAAAAAUGAAAAAAAUUAAUUUUAACUUGAUGGAGAUAUUUUUGUGUUUGAACAAGAAAUGAAAAGGAUGAGGAGCUGGAAGAGAGAAAGAGUGGAACGGG